rnacentral:misc_RNA from 1 species
CAGAGUUUUCUAAACUCCCAAACCUUUGUGAACUUACCACUGUUGCCUCGGCGGAAGCUAUUGGGGUUACCCUGUAGCGACCGCCGGUGGACCAACCCAACUCUUGUAAUUUUGAGAAAUCUGAGAGUCUUAUAUAAAUAAGUCA